ACUCAAAUGAAUUGACGGGGACCCGCACAAGCGGUGGAGCAUGUGGUUUAAUUCGAAGCAACGCGAAGAACCUUACCAGGUCUUGACAUCUCUUGCAUAUCUUAGAGAUAAGAGAAACCCUUCGGGGCAAGAAGACAGGUGGUGCAUGGUUGUCGUCAGCUCGUGUCGUGAGAUGUUGGGUUAAGUCCCGCAACGAGCGCAACCCUUAUAACUAGUUGCCAGCAUUCAGAUGGGGACUCUAGUUAGACUGCCGGUGACAAACCGGAGGAAGGUGGGGAUGACGUCAAAUCAUCAUGCCCCUUAUGACCUGGGCUACACACGUGCUACAAUGGAUGGUACAACGAGUCGCUAACUCGCAAGAGCAUGCCAAUCUCUAAAAGCCAUUCUCAGUUCGGAUUGUAGUCUGCAACUCGACUACAUGAAGCCGGAAUCGCUAGUAAUCGCGGAUCAGCACGCCGCGGUGAAUACGUUCCCGGGUCUUGUACACACCGCCCGU
rnacentral:rRNA from 1 species